GGUUAAGCGACUAAGCGUACACGGUGGAUGCCCUGGCAGUCAGAGGCGAUGAAGGACGUGCUAAUCUGCGAUAAGCGUCGGUAAGGUGAUAUGAACCGUUAUAACCGGCGAUUUCCGAAUGGGGAAACCCAGUGUGUUUCGACACACUAUCAUUAACUGAAUCCAUAGGUUAAUGAGGCGAACCGGGGGAACUGAAACAUCUAAGUACCCCGAGGAAAAGAAAUCAACCGAGAUUCCCCCAGUAGCGGCGAGCGAACGGGGAGGAGCCCAGAGCCUGAAUCAGUGUGUGUGUUAGUGGAAGCGUCUGGAAAGGCGCGCGAUACAGGGUGACAGCCCCGUACACAAAAAUGCACAUAUUGUGAGCUCGAUGAGUAGGGCGGGACACGUGGUAUCCUGUCUGAAUAUGGGGGGACCAUCCUCCAAGGCUAAAUACUCCUGACUGACCGAUAGUGAACCAGUACCGUGAGGGAAAGGCGAAAAGAACCCCGGCGAGGGGAGUGAAAAAGAACCUGAAACCGUGUACGUACAAGCAGUGGGAGCACGCUUAGGCGUGUGACUGCGUACCUUUUGUAUAAUGGGUCAGCGACUUAUAUUCUGUAGCAAGGUUAACCGAAUAGGGGAGCCGAAGGGAAACCGAGUCUUAACUGGGCGUUAAGUUGCAGGGUAUAGACCCGAAACCCGGUGAUCUAGCCAUGGGCAGGUUGAAGGUUGGGUAACACUAACUGGAGGACCGAACCGACUAAUGUUGAAAAAUUAGCGGAUGACUUGUGGCUGGGGGUGAAAGGCCAAUCAAACCGGGAGAUAGCUGGUUCUCCCCGAAAGCUAUUUAGGUAGCGCCUCGUGAAUUCAUCUCCGGGGGUAGAGCACUGUUUCGGCAAGGGGGUCAUCCCGACUUACCAACCCGAUGCAAACUGCGAAUACCGGAGAAUGUUAUCACGGGAGACACACGGCGGGUGCUAACGUCCGUCGUGAAGAGGGAAACAACCCAGACCGCCAGCUAAGGUCCCAAAGUCAUGGUUAAGUGGGAAACGAUGUGGGAAGGCCCAGACAGCCAGGAUGUUGGCUUAGAAGCAGCCAUCAUUUAAAGAAAGCGUAAUAGCUCACUGGUCGAGUCGGCCUGCGCGGAAGAUGUAACGGGGCUAAACCAUGCACCGAAGCUGCGGCAGCGACGCUGAUGCGUUGUUGGGUAGGGGAGCGUUCUGUAAGCCUGCGAAGGUGUGCUGUGAGGCAUGCUGGAGGUAUCAGAAGUGCGAAUGCUGACAUAAGUAACGAUAAAGCGGGUGAAAAGCCCGCUCGCCGGAAGACCAAGGGUUCCUGUCCAACGUUAAUCGGGGCAGGGUGAGUCGACCCCUAAGGCGAGGCCGAAAGGCGUAGUCGAUGGGAAACAGGUUAAUAUUCCUGUACUUGGUGUUACUGCGAAGGGGGGACGGAGAAGGCUAUGUUGGCCGGGCGACGGUUGUCCCGGUUUAAGCGUGUAGGCUGGUUUUCCAGGCAAAUCCGGAAAAUCAAGGCUGAGGCGUGAUGACGAGGCACUACGGUGCUGAAGCAACAAAUGCCCUGCUUCCAGGAAAAGCCUCUAAGCAUCAGGUAACAUCAAAUCGUACCCCAAACCGACACAGGUGGUCAGGUAGAGAAUACCAAGGCGCUUGAGAGAACUCGGGUGAAGGAACUAGGCAAAAUGGUGCCGUAACUUCGGGAGAAGGCACGCUGAUAUGUAGGUGAAGUCCCUUGCGGAUGGAGCUGAAAUCAGUCGAAGAUACCAGCUGGCUGCAACUGUUUAUUAAAAACACAGCACUGUGCAAACACGAAAGUGGACGUAUACGGUGUGACGCCUGCCCGGUGCCGGAAGGUUAAUUGAUGGGGUCAGCGCAAGCGAAGCUCUUGAUCGAAGCCCCGGUAAACGGCGGCCGUAACUAUAACGGUCCUAAGGUAGCGAAAUUCCUUGUCGGGUAAGUUCCGACCUGCACGAAUGGCGUAAUGAUGGCCAGGCUGUCUCCACCCGAGACUCAGUGAAAUUGAACUCGCUGUGAAGAUGCAGUGUACCCGCGGCAAGACGGAAAGACCCCGUGAACCUUUACUAUAGCUUGACACUGAACAUUGAGCCUUGAUGUGUAGGAUAGGUGGGAGGCUUGGAAGUGUGGACGCCAGUCUGCAUGGAGCCGACCUUGAAAUACCACCCUUUAAUGUUUGAUGUUCUAACGUUGACCCGUGAUCCGGGUUGCGGACAGUGUCUGGUGGGUAGUUUGACUGGGGCGGUCUCCUCCUAAAGAGUAACGGAGGAGCACGAAGGUUGGCUAAUCCUGGUCGGACAUCAGGAGGUUAGUGCAAUGGCAUAAGCCAGCUUGACUGCGAGCGUGACGGCGCGAGCAGGUGCGAAAGCAGGUCAUAGUGAUCCGGUGGUUCUGAAUGGAAGGGCCAUCGCUCAACGGAUAAAAGGUACUCCGGGGAUAACAGGCUGAUACCGCCCAAGAGUUCAUAUCGACGGCGGUGUUUGGCACCUCGAUGUCGGCUCAUCACAUCCUGGGGCUGAAGUAGGUCCCAAGGGUAUGGCUGUUCGCCAUUUAAAGUGGUACGCGAGCUGGGUUUAGAACGUCGUGAGACAGUUCGGUCCCUAUCUGCCGUGGGCGCUGGAGAACUGAGGGGGGCUGCUCCUAGUACGAGAGGACCGGAGUGGACGCAUCACUGGUGUUCGGGUUGUCAUGCCAAUGGCACUGCCCGGUAGCUAAAUGCGGAAGAGAUAAGUGCUGAAAGCAUCUAAGCACGAAACUUGCCCCGAGAUGAGUUCUCCCUGACUCCUUGAGAGUCCUGAAGGAACGUUGAAGACGACGACGUUGAUAGGCCGGGUGUGUAAGCGCAGCGAUGCGUUGAGCUAACCGGUACUAAUGAACCGUGAGGCUUAACCUUACAACGCCGAA
rnacentral:rRNA from 1 species